UGUUAAAUUCUCGGUUUCUUUUAAA
rnacentral:piRNA from 1 species